ACGCACGCUGGCGGCAUGCCUCACCCCUGCCAGUCGCACGAGACCUUCGGGUCUAGUGGCGCACGGGUGCGUAACGCGUGGGAACCUGCCCUUAGAUUCGGAAUAACUCCCCGAAAGGGGUGCUAAUACCGGAUAAUGUCUUCGGACCAAAGAUUUAUCGCCUUUGGAUGGGCCCGCGUUGGAUUAGCUAGUUGGUAGGGUAAAAGCCUACCAAGGCGACGAUCCAUAGCUGGUCUGAGAGGAUGAUCAGCCACACUGGGACUGAGACACGGCCCAGACUCCUACGGGAGGCAGCAGUGGGGAAUAUUGGACAAUGGGCGAAAGCCUGAUCCAGCAAUGCCGCGUGAGUGAUGAAGGCCUUAGGGUUGUAAAGCUCUUUUACCCGGGAUGAUAAUGACAGUACCGGGAGAAUAAGCUCCGGCUAACUCCGUG
rnacentral:rRNA from 1 species